rnacentral:rRNA from 1 species
AUUGAACGCUGGCGGCAUGCCUUACACAUGCAAGUCGAACGGCAGCGGGGGAGAAGCUUGCUUUUCCUGCCGGCGAGUGGCGAACGGGUGAGUAAUACAUCGGAACGUGCCCUGUAGUGGGGGAUAACUAGUCGAAAGAUUAGCUAAUACCGCAUACGACCUGAGGGUGAAAGUGGGGGACCGCAAGGCCUCAUGCUAUAGGAGCGGCCGAUGUCUGAUUAGCUAGUUGGUGGGGUAAAGGCCUACCAAGGCGACGAUCAGUAGCUGGUCUGGGAGGACGAUCAGCCACACUGGGACUGAGACACGGCCCAGACUCCUACGGGAGGCAGCAGUGGGGAAUUUUGGACAAUGGGCGGAGGCCUGAUCCAGCAAUGCCGCGUGUGUGAAGAAGGCCUUCGGGUUGUAAAGCACUUUUGUCCGGAAAGAAAUGGCUCUGGUUAAUACCUGGGGUCGAUGACGGUACCGGAAGAAUAAGGACCGGCUAACUACGUGCCAGCAGCCGCCGCGGUAA